rnacentral:siRNA from 1 species
UACAAUUCCCUUUCUGCUGUACCU